ACCAGGAGCGGUGGCUCGUGCCUGGAGUCCCAGCUACUCGGGAGGCUGAGAUUAAAGGAUCUCUUGAGUCCAGGAGUUCUGGGCUGUAGUGCGCUAUGCCGAUCGGGUGUCCGCACUAAGUUCGGCAUCAAUAUGGUGAUCUCCCUGGAGUGGGGGACCACCAGGUUGCCUAAGGAGGGGUGAACCGCCCCAGGUCGGAAACGGAGCAGGUCAAAACUCCCGUGCUGAUCAGUAGUGGGAUCGCGCCUGUGAAUAGCCACUGCACUCCAGCCUGGGCAACACAGGGAGACCCUGUUUCU
rnacentral:SRP_RNA from 1 species